GAUAACAUAAGGAACGCUAACGUACUUCUGAGAUGGCGCCAAGUUUCCAUAGCCAUGAUUUUUAGGUUUAAACAUACAAAAUUAGCCAAAAAGCUAGCAUAAAAUGUUAGCAUGCUAACAUUAGCUUGUUAAAAUGUUUGUAUUUUUGCAAGAUGGGGAGACCUGUCUCAAAAGAAAACAUUAAUUUUAGGGUUAAAUAAUCAAAAUAAAAAAUAAAAAUGCUAGCAUUAGACAUUAGCUUAUUAGUGUUAGCAUGCUAACAAUAGUUGUUUUAAAUGGUAAUGCUAACCCCUCAAGCAGAGUUCUCACUUCCUGGCAAACGCCAUCUUUACCACACCCGUGCUAACACAACGCUUCCGUCUCGUUCCGGCGUUUACGGUCCGUCACACCGAAUGUACCGCAACACACCUCUGCUGCUGGAGUGUUUUGGCGCUGGCCGACAGCAAAACACACAAACGCUGCAAAAGACGAGUGACGGGAAAGAAGUUUUGUUUUUUUCAGUAAAAUGCUGUCAAAUUCUGUCGAUUCACUGCACCUUUUUUUUUUUUUUUUUUUUUUUUUUUUUUUUUACUGCAAAAUGUACUGUUUGGUUUUUACACUGUGCUUCAAAAUAAUAACAUGCAUAAGCAAUGUGUGAUAAUAUGCUGAGGUGGAAAUGCCUUUACUGUACGUUCAUAUAUUAUUAUGCAUUGCUGACAAAACACACACAAAUAUUUCAACAAGUUGAAAAACUAUUUUCCGCAAUUAAAAAAAAAACGAUUUGCGACUACAAAAAAAUGAUUUUCUUUCAUUAAAAAAACGAUUUGCAAGUCAAGAAUAAAACCGUUUACUACAAGAAAAACAACAAUUUACAAGUAUAAAAAUUUUUUUUAUUAAAAGAAAGAUUCGCUAGUAAAAAAAGCUAUUUUGUUGCAAGAAAAAAAAAGAUUCACAAGUAUAAAAAAAUAAAAAUGUUAUGCAAGAAAAACGAUUUGCAAGUAUAAAAAAAAAAAAAAUUCUGCAAGUAUAAAAACUGUUUUUGACAAGAAAAAAACAACAAUUUGCAAGUAUAAUUUGUAUUUAUUUUUUUCAAUUAAAAGAAAGAUUUGUUAGUAAAAAAAAAGUAAUUUUUUUUGCCAGAAAAAAAAUGAUUCACAAGUAUAAAAAAAUUAAAAUAAAACAUUUUAUGCAAGAAAAAAACGAUUUGCAGUAUAAAAAGAUAAUUGUCUGCAAGUAUAAAAACUGUUUUCGACAAACAACAACAAUUUGCAAGUAUAAAAUGUUUUUUUUUCAAUUAGAAGAAAUAUUUGCUAGUUAAAAAAAACUAUUUUUUUGCAAGAAUAUAAAUUAUUCACAAGUAAAAAAAACAAAAAACAUUUUAUGCAAGAAAAAAACUAUUUGCAAGUAUAAAAAAAUAAUUUUCUGCAAGUAUAAAGACUGUUUUCGACAAGAAAAACAACAAUUUGCAAGUAUACAUUUUUUUUUUCCAAUUAAAAGAAAGAUUCGCAAGUAAAAAAGGCAAUUUUUUUGCAAGUAAAAAAAUUAUUCACAAGUAUAAACAUUUUAUGCAAAAAAAACGAUUUGCAAGUAUAAAAAAAUAAUUUUCUGCAAGUAUAAAAACUGUUUUCGACAAGAAAUACAACAAUUUGCAAGUAUAAAAAUUAUAAUUUUUUCAAUUAAAAGAAAGAUUCGCUAGUAAAAAAAGCAGUUAUUUUGCAAGAAUAUAAAUUAUUCACAAGUAAAAAAAACAAAAAACAUUUUAUGCAAGAAAAAACGAUUUGCAAGUAUGAAAAAAUAAUUUUCUGCAAGUAUAAAAACUGUUUUGGACAAGAAAAACAACAAUUUGCAAGUGUAAAAAAUUUUUUUCAAUUAAAAGAAAGAUUCGCUAGUAAAAAAAAAAGCUUUUUUUUUUGCAAGAAAAUAAAUUAUUCACAAGUAAAAAUAAACAAAAAACAAUUUAUGCAAGAGAAAAAACAUUUGCAAGUGUAAAAAAAUAAUUUUCUGCAAAUAUAAAAACUGUUUUUGACAAGAAAAACAACAAUUUGCAAGUAGAAAACAAUUUUCUGCCAGAAAAAAAAGAUUUGCAAAUAUAGACACAAUUUCUUCAAUUAAAAAGGAUUCAUAAGUUUAAAAAUAAUGUCUUUUAAAUAAAUAAAACGAUUAAGCAGGUAUAAAAUAAUUUCCUGCAAUAACUUUACUCCUCACCCUGCUGCUUCUUCUUCUUUGUUAGUCUGUGCGGAUGGCACCAUGCGCAAAUACCAGUAGCUCUUAAAUGGACUCAGCAGCGCCCCCUGUGGUGGUGCCGUGACAAUGACGCGUGUGCAGCUGGAAGAUGACUGCAGAAAGUUGGGACUUGCAGGAAAUGGAUUAAAUAUUUGUGAGUCAUUUUUUAAAAUUCAAUAAAAUAGUUUUUAUGCAAAUCAUUUUUUAAAACAUUUUUUACUUGCAAAUUGUUUUUUAAUUGAAUAUUUUCUUUCCACUUCUGAAUGUUAGUGCGCAAGUUCAAACAUUUGUGUGUGUUUUGUAGUAACUUUGCUCCACGGUGAUUAGAGACUUCGACUUAGUCUGACGCCUUUUUCAUUUUGCUGCACUUUUUCUCCACUCUUGAGUCCACUUAAUGAUUGUAGAUGAGCAGGAAACUCCAGCUGGACGUUCCUGACACCUUUCACCGCUUCCAAGGACAAGGCUUGACCUUGUCGUGCUUCCACACCUUGUUGUCGUGCGUCCCAACGACCUUGCAUUGUACAUACGGACAUGAUUGCUGUGAAACUUGUCGUAGAGCCACGCCCCUUUUUGCCACUAAACGGGCCGCCGUCGUUCAGUGAGUGUUUGUGGAGUCAAAUGUUUGUCAACACCUCUCAUGUGGAAUAAAACUGUUUGAACACCU